GCGGAUGUAGCCAAGUGGUAAGGCAAUGGGCUGUGAUCCCGUCAUGCGCGGGUUCGAUCCCCGUCAUUCGCC
rnacentral:tRNA from 1 species